CCUACGGGGGGCAGCAGUCGAGAAUCAUUCACAAUGGGGGAAACCCUGAUGGUGCGACGCCGCGUGGGGGAAUGCAGGUCUUCGGAUUGUAAACCCCUGUCAUGUGGGCGCAAAUUAAAAAGAUAGUACCACAAGAGGAAGAGACGGCUAACUCGGUGCCAGCAGCCGCGGUAAUACAGAGGUCUCAAGCGUUGUUCGGAAUCACUGGGCGUAAAGGGUGCGUAGGCUGUUUCGUAAGUCGUGUGUGAAAGGCGCGGGCUUAACCCGCGGACGGCACAUGAUACUGCGAGACUAGAGUAAUGGAGGGGGAACCGGAAUUCUCGGUGUAGCAGUGAAAUGCGUAGAUAUCGAGAGGAACACUCGUGGCGAAGGCGGGUUCCUGGACAUUAACUGACGCUGAGGCACGAAGGCCAGGGGAGCGAAAGGGAUUAGAUACCCUUGUAGUC
rnacentral:rRNA from 1 species